AAAUAAUUAUAUAUAUAUAUAUAUCAAAAUAAUACACUCUCUUAAUUCAACCAAAACAUAAUAUUUUUUUUCAAAAGUGGAAUAAAGAAAAAUAAUUAACAUUAAAUAGGAGUUACCACUCAUUUAUUGGACUACUAGCUGCAUGUGGACCCACUUAUUGUACUGCACACUUAUCCUUUAUCUUAUAGAUUUACGUUCACAGCACGAUAAUAUAAUUCGUGAAAAAGAAUAGUGUGUAUGUAGAUUUAUACGUUUCGUUUAUGAAACGUUUUAAAUCCUACUGUAAGUUACUUUCCAACGGAAUUCAUCUGCUUCUUCAUCUCUAACGAAAGUAUAGGCCUUUAAAUUUCCAUCAAUUUCAAGUCUAAGAUAUGUCAAUGUUGUGUUGUAUUUAGUAAAUGCCAUCACAUGUGAACUUCUUUGUGUUGAUUUUGCAAAUCUAUAAUCCAAUUUCAAUCUUUGAUUCCCACUAUUUAAUUUUAUCGAUUCCAAUGUGUUAUUUCCAUAAUCGAACCAAGCUAAUUCCACGUCAACCUUGUUUCCCUUGUAGACUGCAAACAAUCUCGGCUGCACCACCAAGCUAUAAGGCCCGUUCGCAUUCUUUUUCACCGAGGCCCGGCUCACAAGCUUAUUCGGGCCGGACAAUCUGAGAGUUUGGCCCACUAGUAAAGUGUCAGUGGGAUAGUUGAAACUCUGCCAGACGAAUUUACCUUUUUUGUCAUGUAGCACCAUGUUACCGUUAGGUAACAACUUGAACCCUGUCACCCCCUUAUUGGCCGUGUUGCUCUGCCAAGCGAUUCGACCGUCAGCAUCGGCCAAUACGAGAUUUCCGUUAGUUCCAAACGUGAAUGUCGCGUUUUCUUUAACGGGGUUUCCCCUGUUUGCUUCCCACACCCAACGCAUGAGUGAUUCAGAACGAACAGUGCCCAUUCGCAACGCUAAUGUCCACGCAUUAGGAGUUGUGUUGUAGAAACAGAGCUGGAACGGAUUAUUGAAAACACUAAGAACACGAUAAUCUGCUUGAUAUUCUACGAUAUAAGGUCCUAAUUCGCCUUCGUUGACGAAUUCAAAGGUGUUUUCAAGUGGAACUAGGGCAAUGCAAGAAAAUAUUUGGGAGAAAAGAAAUAGAGAAGCAAGAAGUGUAGUAGGCCAUGAAGUAG
rnacentral:misc_RNA from 1 species